rnacentral:rRNA from 1 species
UAAGGAAUAUUGGUCAAUGGACGCAAGUCUGAACCAGCCAUGCCGCGUGGAGCAUUAAGGCCCUCUGGGUUGUAAACUCCUUUUAUCUGGGAAGAAAUGUACUUUUUCUUGAGUACUUGACGGUACCAGAGGAAUAAGCACCGGCUAACUCCGUGCCAGCAGCCGCGGUAAUACGGAGGGUGCAAGCGUUAUCCGGAUUCACUGGGUUUAAAGGGUGCGUAGGUGGGCAGGUAAGUCAGUGGUGACAUCUCCGGGCUUAACCCGGAGACUGCCGUGGAUACUAUUUGACUUGGAUAGUGUGUAGGUAAGCGGAAUAUGUCAUGUUGCGGUGAAAUGCUUAGAUAUGACAUAGAACACCAAUUGCGAAGACAGCUUACUACCCAAUCAGUGACGCUGAGGCACGAAAGC